AGCUCCAAUAGCGUAUAUUAAAGUUGUUGCGGUUAAAAGCUCGUAGUUGGAUUUCUGUUGAGGGUGGCCAGUCCGCACUUCGUGCGAGUAUUUGGUUCAGCCUCGGCAUCCUCCUAGGAAGCGUAAUUGUACUUGAUUGUAUGAUACGUAACUUAGGACUUUUACUUUGAGGAAAUUAGAGUGUUCACGGCAGGCGAUCGCCUUGAAUAUGUUAGCAUGGAAUAAUAAUAUAAGACCUCGGUUUUAUUUUGUUGGUUUCUAGAAGCGAGGUAAUGAUUAAUAGGGACAAUUGGGGGUAUUCGAAUUAACACGUCAGAGGUGGAAUUCUUGGAUUGUGUUACGACGAACUACUGCGAAAGCAUUUACCAAGGAUGUUUUCA
rnacentral:rRNA from 1 species